rnacentral:misc_RNA from 1 species
CAAUGUUGGCAAUAAUGCGGCAUUUUCAGCAACACCAGUUUCCCGCCACAACCUGUGAACCCGCGAUGCCGACACUCUCGUGAGCUCACAGCCAGCUCGGACUCACCGCAACAGUUGCCGCGACUCUGCUUUUGAGGAGUUUUGACUGUCCAUCUGUCUAGGGGACAAACACGGCGCCACGCCCCCUCCGGCUGACUUGACCCUAACUAAAACCGAAAAUUUACCCAGCAGCUCACAGGCGUGUCACCAGAGGGCAAUGCCGGGCGACACAGACGGGUCUGGCGUGGGCGUGCGACCAGUCUGUUGGUUGUGCGGUGGUUUUUUCCCCAUUUGCGGCAUUUCCCACAGGCCCAUUUUGGGACCCCUACAAUUUUGUGACCCCCUCACCUCCUCCCCGACCCACUAUGGUUGCCUUUCGCUCCCUUUUUUUCGCCACCCAAAAUUUUGCCCCAACUUGCUUUGCAAGAGUCAUUUUAAGCUUUGGGGUGCCAUUUCGGGACAAUUUUACUCCUGUUUUCUCUCUUACACUGCAGCAUGUUGUGGGCACCUGUCUUCACAUUCCUUAACCAUCGACUGCUGCUAAUGCGACAAAUUUUUCUCUACACUUCUACGUCUCACUGUGUCGUUCCACUUUCGACCGCCAUCUUCCCCCGCCGUCGCUUGUUGUUGCGUUGAACAAGGUGAUAUCUCUGAGAGUCCCUCUUCGCACAGGGACAUACUAGCCUUGUAGACUCAAGGUGUGCGCCCAGCAGUCUAGCCGUAGCUCCCCUUCUCUCGUCACUCUUGCCACCGUGUCCCUAUAGCCUUGCUUGUAUAUUUAGACAAAAGCAGUAGUGUGCCCUAGCCCAAACCUUAACUUGCGUUUGUGCUGGGAAGAAUGCUAACCGUGGCAAAGUACUUAAGCCCUCGGGCUCCCAAAAUUUCAAAAUUCCUUUCAUCGGAC